CACGUAGGGUGCAAGCGUUGUCCGGAAUUAUUGGGCGUAAAGAGCUCGUAGGCGGUCUGUCACGUCGGCUGUGAAAACCUGGGGCUCAACCCCGGGCCUGCAGCCGAUACGGGCAGACUAGAAUUCGGUAGGGGAGACUGGAAUUCCUGGUGUAGCGGUGAAAUGCGCAGAUAUCAGGAGGAACACCGGUGGCGAAGGCGGGUCUCUGGGCCGAUAUUGACGCUGAGGAGCGAAAGCGUGGGGAGCGAACAGG
rnacentral:rRNA from 1 species